rnacentral:lncRNA from 1 species
UGCGCUUGCGGAUCGUUUCCUUAUUGCGUUACAAAAUAUCAACAAGCAUUUCUGGCGCCGUUGCCGGGGAGAAAGACGCUUUGCUGAGAUAACUUUGAGUCUUGCUAUUAUCUUGUAUUAUACUUUUAUACUUUUAUUAUUUUAUCUUUUUAUUUUUAUCUUUUUGGAUAACUCAAAUUCCAUACCUAUUAUUAAAUUCUUUGCACCUUUGGAGACCAGCCAUAGACCAUGGGAGUCAACACGUCCUGCCCCUAAUUAUGAUCUGUGUCCGGAGUUGAUUGCAAUAGGUCAAAACCAACCCUUUUCUAUAGGUGAGGUCCUAUCUUUUAAUUUUUCUAUAAAUUCUGGUUUAAACCUAGCCCUACAAGACAAUGUUUUUUCUCGAUAUUUUCACAUUGGUCUUAAUCAUAUACCCUU